GAAAAACAUGAAAUCACUUCCCACCUGAGGGGUCAACUACUGGUAUCUCCCUGCACCCAUCUCCCUUCAGAAAAGAUGAGGAACUCACUGGCAAGACUCCACUGUAAUUACCGAGUCAAUGUGAAAUUGCCUUGGGCAAGGGGCGGAGGAUGGAGGGACAUAAACCACCCACAGACAGAGCUGUAAACUCUGGGUUUAUCUCCACUAUCCACCCAGGUAGCCAGACACAGAUUACCCACCUGCAAAGAAGUUAAAA